rnacentral:tRNA from 1 species
GCCGGGAGCACCCGGGAUACCCCGUCUUGUAAAGCGGGGGUCGUCGGUUCGAAUCCGACAGGGGGCU